rnacentral:snRNA from 1 species
AUCUAUGAAGACAAUCUAUGAGGUCUGUCACCCUAUUAGUUUCUAGGGGUGAUUUUGGCUGAUUAAACUGAAAGACAGUUAUCCCCUUUAUCACAACCACAUGUUUGUCUUUCCAGAAGCUUCCUAUUAAGUGGAAGAGAAUGAGUUUUCUCAAUAAUAUGUGAUGACUUAGUCAAGGGUAUAUGAGCAGCUUUUUCCUCAUGCUAGCACUUACAAAAAUCUCUUAAAAAUACUUAAUUUUGAAGCUAAGAUGCAGUAUCACAUGCUUCCUUCC